rnacentral:rRNA from 1 species
GACGAACGCUGGCGGCGUGCUUAACACAUGCAAGUCGAACGGAAAGGCCCUGCUUUUGUGGGGUGCUCGAGUGGCGAACGGGUGAGUAACACGUGAGUAACCUGCCCUUGACUUUGGGAUAACUUCAGGAAACUGGGGCUAAUACCGGAUAGGAGCUCCUGCUGCAUGGUGGGGGUUGGAAAGUUUCGGCGGUUGGGGAUGGACUCGCGGCUUAUCAGCUUGUUGGUGGGGUAGUGGCUUACCAAGGCUUUGACGGGUAGCCGGCCUGAGAGGGUGACCGGCCACAUUGGGACUGAGAUACGGCCCAGACUCCUACGGGAGGCAGCAGUGGGGAAUAUUGCACAAUGGGCGGAAGCCUGAUGCAGCAACGCCGCGUGCGGGAUGACGGCCUUCGGGUUGUAAACCGCUUUCGCCUGUGACGAAGCGUGAGUGACGGUAAUGGGUAAAGAAGCACCGGCUAACUACGUGCCAGCAGCCGCGGUGAUACGUAGGGUGCGAGCGUUGUCCGGAUUUAUUGGGCGUAAAGGGCUCGUAGGUGGUUGAUCGCGUCGGAAGUGUAAUCUUGGGGCUUAACCCUGAGCGUGCUUUCGAUACGGGUUGACUUGAGGAAGGUAGGGGGGAAUGGAAUUCCUGGUGGAGCGGUGGAAUGCGCAGAUAUCAGGAGGAACACCAGUGGCGAAGGCGGUUCUCUGGGCCUUUCCUGACGCUGAGGAGCGAAAGCGUGGGGAGCGAACAGGCUUAGAUACCCUGGUAGUCCACGCUGUAAACGGUGGGUACUAGGUGUGGGGUCCAUUCCACGGGUUCCGUGCCGUAGCUAACGCUUUAAGUACCCCGCCUGGGGAGUACGGCCGCAAGGCUAAAACUCAAAGGAAUUGACGGGGCCCCGCACAAGCGGCGGAGCAUGCGGAUUAAUUCGAUGCAACGCGUAGAACCUUACCUGGGUUUGACAUGGAUCGGGAGUGCUCAGAGAUGGGUGUGCCUCUUUUGGGGUCGGUUCACAGGUGGUGCAUGGCUGUCGUCAGCUCGUGUCGUGAGAUGUUGGGUUAAGUCCCGCAACGAGCGCAACCCUUGUUCACUGUUGCCAGCACGUUAUGGUGGGGACUCAGUGGAGACCGCCGGGGUCAACUCGGAGGAAGGUGGGGAUGACGUCAAGUCAUCAUGCCCCUUAUGUCCAGGGCUUCACGCAUGCUACAAUGGCUGGUACAGAGAGUGGCGAGCCUGUGAGGGUGAGCGAAUCCCGGAAAGCCGGUCUCAGUUCGGAUUGGGGUCUGCAACUCGACCUCAUGAAGUCGGAGUCGCUAGUAAUCGCAGAUCAGCAACGCUGCGGUGAAUACGUUCCCGGG